UACGUAUGGUGCAAGCGUUAUCCGGAUUUACUGGGUGUAAAGGGUGCGUAGGUGGCAUGGCAAGUCAGAAGUGAAAGGCCGGGGCUCAACCCCGGGACUGCUUUUGAAACUGUCAGGCUGGAGUGCAGGAGAGGAAAGCGGAAUUCCUAGUGUAGCGGUGAAAUGCGUAGAUAUUAGGAGGAACACCAGUGGCGAAGGCGGCUUUCUGGACUGAAACUGACACUGAGGCACGAAAGCGUGGGGAGCAA
rnacentral:rRNA from 1 species